CUGAGAAGUCUCCCUAUCCCUGGUCAUGAAGAUUGUCUUCUGUUUUCUUCUAGUGUUUGGUUUUAUGUUUUACAUUUAGAUCUGUGAUCCAUUUUGGAUUCUUACAUAAAAUGUGAGGUUUAAAAUGUUUUUCAUGCUAGUUUUUUCAUCAUUUGUUUGAAAAGACUGUCCUUUCUCCAUUGAAUUGCUUUUCCAUAUUUGUCAUAAAUUGACUGGCCAUGUUUAUGUGGGUCUGUUACUGUCCUCUCUCCUGUUCCCUUGAUCUUUGUGUCAUUCCCUUUGCCAAUACCCUGUCUUGACUACUGUAGCUUGAUAUUCAACCUUAAGAUAGUCUAACUCCUCCAACUUUGUCAAAAUUGUUUGUUAUUCUAGUUCUUUGGCCUUUCUACAAAUUUUAGAAUCAGUUUAAAAAAGGUGUGAUGGGAUUUUUUUUUAUUAUUAUUACAAUUGCAUUAAAUCUUUAGAUCGUUACAGGGCCUGAUGAGUAUUUAAAUGAGAUUGCAUGGGGUGGCUUGGGUAGCUAAGUGUGUGACUCUUGAUUUCACUUGAGGUCAUGAUCUCACACAGUUUGAUAGAUGGAGCCCCACAUCCAACUCUUGUGCUCACAGCUUGAAGCCUGCUUGGGAUGCUCUCUCUCAAAAUAAACUUAAAAAAAAAUUUUUAAAGGAUAUUGCUUGCUCUUAGGUGCUAUAUAACCUUUAAUGACAUAAGGCAGCCUCGUCCUUCAUUAGCUGUGUGGUGAUUAUUCCAGAGUUAAAAGCCCUGGGUUAUGAUUGAUUAUAGUAGUGUCUUCUGAAGUCUGGCAGUAAAUGAGGUGUGGUCUACAUAAUAGUGGAUAGGAGUGGCUAGGAAAAGACAACCAGAACAUUGAAGGGCUUGGGCAGGUCAGCCAUCAUUCACAACUUGAUCUUUGUAGACCUCUUCCCCUGUUCAUGCCCAUGGUUCUCCUGGUCUGAGGCAGUGGUACAGACUUUUAGUGGAAGAGUGGGGUGCCAAGGAAUCGGCUGUUGCUUGUGUUGUCAUCCUGUUUAUUCCUUCCCAUUAGAGACCUUCAGUCCCCUCCCCAGUUUCUUGGCUGUCUUCAGAAAAAAGAAAAACUCAGGCUUCCCAACUCCUAGUCUUUUAAAUGUGUACAUCCUUUCCUCCUUGACCAUCGUUUCAUAUUGUUUCAUAUCCUGUUCUUCUGUGGACCUUUGUGUCUCCAUUGUCUUAAUGACAGCCACAAACUCCUCCUAUCCAACAGGCAAAUGCUCAAAUGUACUAAUGAAAUGUUUCCAAAUAUUGCACCCUCUCUGGUCUCUGAGGGGUCUUAACAGCUGAGGUGUUAGUGUUCUGCCCCCCUAGCCCCCGGGCAUAUACACAGCCCCUUGCCUCUUCUCUGGCCAUUUCCCCUUUUCUUUGAGCAGCUGUGCUUUGCAGUGACUGCCAGUGUCCCUGCUUUUGUCUUCCUGUGAUGACUUGGGGACACACACACACACACAUCCCAAUGCGAAUGUGGAUUGGUUGGAGGAGCCCCUGCUUGCACAGAGACCCAGAAUAAGAAAACCUAGGUUUCCGGUGAUUUCUUCCAUAGGACGUCAUCUUAUUGUGGCUCCUACGUAAGUCCUCUUCCCCCUUUAGCUUGAUGCCAGGCCCUGGGCCAAGCACUUUAUUUGCUUAUGUUUUUGUCAGAAAACCUAGCCUCUUAGAUACUACUACCCCCUCCCUCAUUUUGCAAGUGAGAAGGCUGGGACGCAGAGAAACACAACCAGUCAGCGGCAGCUUCAGGAUUGGAACUUGGUCAUUGCCCCUCUGGAACCCAUGUACACAGCCACUGUCCUUAGAGAACAGUCAUCUCUCCUUGCCCACCCCCUGGAAGCACCUCCCUCUGCGCCAGCACACCCGCUUGCUGCCUGCCUGCCUGGGGAAUGCAAACUCAAGUGUGAAGAAGGUCCCUGAAAUUCACUCUGCCUCCUAGUCAGUCAACUGCUGACCACGUCGUUCUGAAGUAGUGGACUCGACUAUCUUGGGGACACACUCUGGAACAGGGCAAGGACUAGAUCUUGCUCUCCCAACACAGACCGUGGAUUUUUGAGGGAGAGCAGGGCCCAAAGAAGGGCCUUUCACCCCUCCAUACACAGCCACAUUUCAGGUCACUUGGAGCCAGGCUUCCUAUCUGAUUUGAAGUGAGCCUAACUGAUACGCAAAGGAGGCAGGAAGGCCGGGGGAGAGGCCAUGACCUGCCUUUCAUUCAUUCUGUGACCUCAGUCAAGUUACUUCCCUUCUUUGAACUCAGCAUUCUUUUGCCACAAAAUAACUGGCCAACCUGAUCCCCAAGGAUCAGUGGCCCCAGCAGGUCCAGCCCAAGGAUAAGGCCACAGGAGGUGGUGGCACUGCAGUCCUACUUGUCAGACGGGCACAAUGUGUCCAAAUGUGGUUGUUUUUGUGGUUUAUGGAAAAAAAAUUUUUUAUCAGGUCUGUGGUUUAUGCGACUGAUAGGGAGGUGGACAGGGCUAGCAUGCUGGCCUGGUGACCGAGCCACAGGGGGUUGGGGGCUUGGAGGACUGGGGCUCCUUAGACCCUUGUCACUCAGAAGGUUUCAUCUUGGUUUUGUCUAGCCACUGCUUCCUUCACAGGAUGGUGGCAAGUGCACUUCUGAGAUCUCCAAACACCCGCCUUCAUGGAGGUCAGCAGGCUCUCUCACCUUGUUGUACCAAUCCACAUACACACCUGGCACUCGAUGCCUAAAGAAUGAUGGAUGAUGGGCUUCAUGGGCACUUGGAUGGCAGUCAGUAGCUACAUGGGUGGGUGGGUGAAAUGGUUGCCGUUGUCUCCCAUACCAAAGCACCUGGCGUGGGUAUCCUGGAAGACUUAAUUUCACAGACAGGGCUGCCAGAACUAGAGGCGCAGGAGGAGGAGGAGGCGUGAGGAGCAGAGUGGGCCGAGAGGCCUGGGGACGUCAUGAGCUUAGCCCCGCAAAGACAGCUGCUACUGCAGAGCCUAAGCCAGGUCUGGCCGUACCAGACCCACAUCCUGCCUGUGGAGGAAGACGAAAGUAGGCAUUUUCCCAACCUUUCCUGCUUUUAACCUUGACACGCCAAUGAAAACUGUACCCCCUCAUCUGCCUUCACCAUUUCUAAUCACCCUUCUCCCAUCACCAUUCCCCUCAGCAUACGUACCUGGGCUCUGAGAGCAGGUGGCACAGUGGUAGUGCCUUUGAGACAUCUUUUCUCACCCGUGCAUCCCUGUGUGCCAAGUAAUAAAUAAUCUUGCUGCACAUGCACAUCCAAGGAUAGGUGAAAUGAGUCCUCAGCAAAUUGUGUGCUUUCCUCUCUGCUGCUUACAAGGAACAGGAUCCAUCCCUAUGGCUAUCUUGAGAUUUUUGCUCAUUGCUAAAUUGCUUAAAGAUUUUGGUGUGAGCAGUAGGAGGGCUCUUCUGGCAUCAUCUGAUACCUCCUGGGAGACUGGCUGCCUUCUGUUGGUCUAGAUUCUCAAGAUUGGGCAAGGGCAGCUGAGUACAGACUACAGGCUUCCUGCCUCUGGCAAAGCCACCAUCUCUGCUGAGGGCACUUCCUGGGGGCUCCAAUGGCCAUGGUAGUCUCAGUGGUUGAGGAGCAGUCCUGGGUGUCCAUCAGUGAUGUGGGCUGUGAGGCCAGGGGACAGCCUCCUAGUUGCUGGAGUGUUAAAAGGCCCAGACAUGAGAACUCUCUGGGAGACCCCAGUCUUUUUGCUUGCUUCUCCUUAUGAUCUCUCCCAGGUUGGGACUGUUUACAGAUGCACACACAAAAAGGGAGGCCCUAAUAAGACUGUAUCACCAAUUCAAAGCGCUUGAUUAAUCAUUUAAAAUGUCUGGGCUGUGCCAAGUGAAGGUUUCAGAUUCCAGGACAGGGGUGAUUGAGGAAUUGGAGCCUUUAGCUGAGAAGGCCUCUGCUCAAAUUUCUUGCAGGUCUUCUCUGCCCUGGCCCUUCUGCCUGACGCUCCACAUGCCCACUGCUGCCCAGAAGUAGGUUUCUGAGUAGCACGUGAAUGGCCCCACGAGGCUUGUACAAUACAGUAGUCCCAAACUUGGGACUGCUGGUUGGCGAGUCUGGUGACUCUGGAAAAGACCCCAGGGCUUGGUGGGCAGGUUGUUGGACAUGGGGGGCUGCAGGCAUGCUUCCAAGUGUCUUCCAUCUGUCUUCAACUGCUUCCGGCACCGAGUCAAAAAAGGUUGGUGGGAGACUUUCCUAGAAGCUACUCAGCUCCUUCCAAAGACACCCUGCACCCAAGACUAACCUAGGCCUUUCUGACGUAUUCUGGGUCUUGGGGUCACACCUGUGUGCAUGUACACCCCUCCCUGCACAUUCCACCAACCCCCUUCACUACCAUCAAGCACACAGCACUUCUGCACUUGGAUUCAGGUGGCAAAGCUCUGAGUAGCUGCUCCUCAUUGAGGGUCAUUGCCAAAGGGCUAUCUGGGAGUAAGAGAAGCUGGUGAGGGGAACCCCUAGGGCUAGGGCAGAGGUAGGAGUUUGGUGGCAUUGGCAGGGAGAUACCAAAUGCAAGUGGGGAGGGUUGGCCUUUUGGCUGAGGUGAAUAUAAGCCAGUCCAUAAGGCCCUGCCUGCAUCCAUCAGAAAAAGGUAGAGCCCAGCCCCUGGCCCCAGGCUGGCCCCAGGGCAUGCAUAUGAUCUGUAAGAAGCAGCUCAAUCUGAGCGGCACCUACAGGCACCAGAACCUGCCUCCCAACCUGAGCAGACUGCUGAACUGCCUGGAAGGGCAAUGUUCCAGUUGGUCCAGGAGUUGCAGAGACGGUACAGUUUCUCUGUACUGUUCCUCCAGCUUCCUCUAAUGUUUAACAUCUUGUGUAACCAUGGUGCUGCCCCCUUUUUAUACCCUGCUUGCCAGUAGAGGCCAGUUGCCAGGGGGGUAUGAACACCUGUGGUGGAAUCAUCUUUGACACAGCUCCUGCCUGGUGACCAGCACUGUCAGUGAUGCUUCAGUGCACACAAGUCCCCUGGCUUCAAGUACCCAGGGAGUUGGGCGGAGUGGGCUGCAUACUAGCUGGCCAGUCAUCUGGGGCAGUGUAGGAGCUCCCGGGCAGAUGGAUCCACUGAGGGGCAGAGUAGGGGAAGAGCAGUAAGGCCCCCUGGGUGGGGUGGGGUGGUCCUGGGGCUGACUGGGCCAUGCUGCUCAGUGCAGGAGGCAGCCUCUGGACAUGAAGGACCUCACACCCGCCAUGUAGGUAGGGCAUCUAGGAAGAUACAGUUGUAUGCCAUUCCUGGACCACAUGGGGGAGGGGUGCCAGGAGGAACUGUGAGGCCUCAAGGGCUUUCUCCUGGGCCACUCCAACCUCCAGACCUACUCUCCACACCCUCUUCCUCCCCCUACUUUUCCAAUAGUUUGGGGUCAGAGGUUCUGUCAUCAGCUAAUGGCAAAGAGAAGGUCAAAAGGGCUUUGGAAGACUUGGUAAUCCAGGGAAUAACUGACAGGGAUUCUAACGUAUGCACCAGCACCAACUGCCCCACCUGAGGUUGACACAGCCCUUUGGUUUGAAGUGUUCUGUCCUGUAGCCAGAUUGAUUUCUUCCCUCUAUAAACACUUGUAUGUGGUGGAAGACCAAAGACGGGAUGACCUGGGCCCAUCCACCUGCCUCACAGCCUGCUGGACUGCACUCUGUUGCUGCUGUCUCUGGGACAUGCUUACUUGACCUGACCAGCCCUCCGGUCCUGCCAGCUCUGCCACCGCCUUCAACAGGUGUGCCUGCCCCAUCUCUUCUGAUUGCUGAAAUAAAUGAAAAUGACUAGCUCUGCACAGACAUUUCUACCUUCAACACAGUGGGAUUCUAGAUUAUUAGCAGGGGUUGCACUGCUGUUUAAUUCAGUGACUUUAUCUUUUUAAUGUUCAAAAUGCAUUUCUUAUUGGCCUUUCACAAAUGUGCUAAAUGACUUUUAUUUUUUUGGCCAAAGGCUUAGUUAUAAAAUAUAUAUUUAUAAUUUUAAAAUUAUACAUUCAAGGUAGUGACAUGAUGUAAUCACACUGAAUGAUUUCUCUGCUGACACCCUGUAUGUUUCAAUAAAUUGGUCUAAACCUCAA